GACGAAGGAUCCAAGCGUUGUCCGGAUUUACUGGGUUUAAAGGGUGCGUAGGCGGACUCUUAAGUCAGUGGUGAAAGCCCAUAGCUCAACUAUGGAACUGCCAUUGAAACUGGGAGUCUUGAAUUCGAUUGAGGCAGAUAGAAUAUAACAUGUAGCGGUGAAAUGCUUAGAUAUGUUAUAGAAUACCGAUUGCGAAGGCAGUCUGCUAAGUCGACAUUGACGCUGAGGCACGAAAGCGUGGGGAGCGAACAGG
rnacentral:rRNA from 1 species